rnacentral:lncRNA from 1 species
UGGCAAUGCCUCAGGGACGCGCGCGCGCCCUCGCCACCCUUUCCCUUUCUACCCGCAGGCUCUCGGUUCUGCGGCACAUUGCGGUGGCGGGCCAGGCGGCAGCCUCUCCCCUCCUUCUCGCCCGGCGGGCGGCCGAGGCAGCCUCGGCACCCGGCGCGCGCGGGCCCUUUAAGAGCUACACCAGCCGAGCUGCAGUUUGACAUCAGCCGGCCGGCGAGGGCGCGCCUGGAGCCGAAGCACGUGCCAGGAUGUUUUAUUGCCGCCGCGGCUGCGGCCGGGCCGGGAGGAUGUGUGUGUGCAUGCGUGUGUGAGUGUGUGUGCGCGCGCCCCGGGGGCAGGGAGGCGGGGGGCGGCGGCGGGCGGCGGAGCGCGGGGGCUGGUUCCUGGUCCCCGGGAGAAGCCAAGAAGGUAUCGGAAUGGUUUGUGGGUUUGGUUGAAAGCUACAGAGAGGAGAGAGAGCGCAGAAGAAGAAAAAAGCCCCUGGAGACAGACCUGGCCUUAAAGACCCCUGCAGCCUCAGGGCCCCUCAAACAUGAGAACAGGCAUGAGGUGCUUCAUCAGCUUGGCGGUUGGUUUGCUGGUAUAUGGCAUAUGGAAAUCGUUUGUAUAGGAGGUUCGAAGACCUCCGUAUGA